rnacentral:rRNA from 1 species
UGGGGAAUAUUGGACAAUGGGCGAAAGCCUGAUCCAGCCAUGCCGCGUGUGUGAAGAAGGUCUUCGGAUUGUAAAGCACUUUAAGUUGGGAGGAAGGGCAGUUACCUAAUACGUAAUUGUUUUGACGUUACCGACAGAAUAAGCACCGGCUAACUCUGUGCCAGCAGCCGCGGUAAUACAGAGGGUGCAAGCGUUAAUCGGAAUUACUGGGCGUAAAGCGCGCGUAGGUGGUUUGUUAAGUUGGAUGUGAAAUCCCCGUGCUCAACCUGGGAACUGCAUUCAAAACUGACUGACUAGAGUAUGGUAGAGGGUGGUGGAAUUUCCUGUGUAGCGGUGAAAUGCGUAGAUAUAGGAAGGAACACCAGUGGCGAAGGCGACCACCUGGACUAAUACUGACACUAAGGUGCGAAAGCGUGGGGAGCAAACA